GGGUAGGAUUCCAGAAAGUGAAGUUCUGAAGGGAGAACUGAUCUGAAUAAAACUGGGGAAAAAGAAAUACUAUAUAAUAAACACAGUUUUGUCUAUGAAUCUCCUAAUACAGAUGACUUAUUAAGAAGGUAAUUUUAAGUAAUAAGAGCUAGUAUGUUAGGGUGCUAAGACUGUGAGGUUUUAUUUUACUGCUACUAAAAUGUUAAUGGGCAAUCAAUUAAAAUCAACCAGACAUCAGAUACUUUCUGAUGAAGAAA